GCUGUUGGUGAAGAGGCCCAGGAAUGAACGCUGGGCACGGCGCCUGAGUCAGACUGAGAGGGUUCCUUCUGAGAACAGC